UACGAAGGGGGCGAGCGUUGUUCGGAUUUACUGGGCGUAAAGGGCGCGCAGGCGGCUUUGUUUGUCAGGCGUGAAAGCCCCGGGCUUAACCUGGGAACUGCGUUUGAUACGGCAGGGCUAGAGUUCGGGAGAGGAGAGUGGAAUUCCCAGUGUAGAGGUGAAAUUCGUAGAUAUCGGGAAGAACACCCGUGGCGAAGGCGGCUCUCUGGGACGGUACUGACGCUGAGACGCGAAAGCGUGGGGAGCGAACAGG
rnacentral:rRNA from 1 species